GUAAAGGUUUGGUUGCACUGACUUAAGACAAGCAUGCAGUACAUAUGGCUCCAUGUUAGCUUCCUUACAAAGAGAUGUCAGUUUCUCUUAAUCCAGGCCAGCAGCAUUCCUGCUGUUCCAGUCCUGGGAUUUCCCCAAGAGUGAUUUCCAAUGUUGCUGAGUUCGUGGUGGCUUAAAUGCUGACGGAUGACCACUCAAGAUUGAUAUGAACACAAAACAGAUGCUACUUGUGAUGCUAUGCCAGAAGAAGACUCUGCUUCUGAGAACAGAAGGACAAAUGGAUUAAACAACUGUACCACUUAUGCCCUUUCAAAGAAUGGGUUCUUCUGGAUAACCUACUGCAGCAUCUCUCCAGACUUCAUGGUUGCCGUCAUCACUGGAUUUCAGAUGGAGCAAACACAUCUAUUGUGGUUCUUCAGCAAGACCUUCAUAUCAUAAACCUUACUGAUAGCCAUCUUCUUCAGCUGGUUGGGACUCUUUGUGAUUUUUCCCAUUUACUGUUGUAAGUGAUGCUAAUCAGAUCCUUUCCGCAUUGUUGCCAGUUUAAAGAACCUUUGAAGGCAUUUGGAUAUAUUGGGGAGGGAACACCAAUAUAUUAUAAAUCCAGGAAGUUGAUCAAAGUAAUGGAACAACCUCCAGGCUCCAGUUCUAUCAGAGUUUGUGUAUUAUGGAUCUUCUUCCAUAUACCCUGGUGUAACUGAGGACUUAAACAGGUGUAAGUGAGAUCAAACCUUUUGUCUUGUGUUGAGAUUUAUAAGAGAGCCCAAACUCCAACCCAUCUGGAUAACCUAUUGUGUGACUCAAUCCUUAAAAAUGAAGAAAUACUACACGAUUCUGCAGAAUACUUUUUUUUUUUUUUUUGCAGGGUGGCAGGGGGAGGAGAAUAUGGAAGCUUUAAAAGAAAAAUAGAAUCCUUCACAUUCAAAAGUUUCCAGUUUCCAUGAUUCUACCCUGAACUGGAGUUAAAGAGGGAGAAGUCAGAAGGGGAUUCCCCCCCUCCCACAUUCUCUCCAGAAUGACCUUAGUUAGUAUUGCUUCCUCAACUUUGUGAAGAUUCUUAUUGCCUUAGAGAUAUUAAGCCACAUGUUUCUUUCUGACAAGCCCAUUCAGCAAAGGAAAUCAAAGAGAAAUUCAAUAAGCUAAAUUUUAGGAGGAAAUAUGUCAUGGCCAUAAAAGAGAACUCCCCACAGGAGCACUUCCUGCAACAUGCUCUAACUGAGUAGUCAGAAGGGACAUUUAUUUAUUUACUAGGUAGAAGAAAGGGUCACAAUCAGACUGAAAUAUAAAGCCUCAAUGCACGCAUUAAUACAGAGACCUGGUCUGAACAUGGAAUUUCUAUUCUGCUGGAAAUUUUGAUAUUGUGAAAGUUGUUUGUGUUCCAAAUUGGAAUAAAAAGUCAAAAUUUCUCAAGGAAUGGAAAUUCUAAAAAUUCGAUGUGAAAACAUCAGACCGUUUUCUUGGAUAAUGCAGAAACAGUAUAAUAUUAAAUACAACAUCAUGUAAAAUAUUAAAUAUAAGUCUAGAUGGAAUUGAUCAAAAUGCUAAAGUAAAAUAGUAAAAAGUGAAAUAGUUUAACCUUAUCAGAAUGAACCAUUUGGCAUUACUGAAAUGAGAAAGUUGAAAGAAUUCAUUUCAGCUUUUCUCCCUGUAACAGCAUAGCUAGCUCCUUAAGUAAAAUUGGGCUCAGCACUUUUGUUCCAGGUCAGUGCCCUAGUGUGGUUUAAUGAGGAGGAUGGGGCUGCUCGGGGAGCUAUAAAGAACUGUUCACAAGCCUUAGAGGGAGAGUUCAGAACCCAGAGUUGAGAAAGGGAGAGAGUUCCCUGGUUGAGCAGUAGAGCCAAAUCAGGCUGGUGAAAGCAGGAGGCAGUCAGGGGUCACCUACAAACUUCCCCAGGCCAGAGAUCGGGGGUCAGAGAGGGCUGAAGGCUGAGAGCAGCAGAGGGAGACACCUGCUGGAGAGCUGAAGCAGGAGGCCAAGAAGAGGGGUGGGAGUUGAAGGCAGGGGAAUGAUGAAAGGGUGAGCCCGAUGAAUACUCCAAGGAAGAGUUGGAGCUGUACAUGACAGAUGACCUGGGACAUAGUGAGAGAUGCUGAAGCUGUAUUUGCUGUUGGACUGUUUGGAAGAAUAUACCAUUUGGACUGUGUCAUGGGGAUUCUGGUUUACGGUAGUAGGACAUCUUUAUACACUCUAUAGACUCUAUAUUUAUAUACUCUGAAGGCUGAACUGAGUUUAUUUAAAGAAUGAAGAAGGAAACUGAGUCAAUGGGCCAUGUGCAGGGCUGCCCUGAGGCCACAAGAGUGUAGAUUUGGGGAAAAACCCACCAUGCAAGACUGAGAUGACCAAGUACGCUGGCAU